UGGGGAAUUUUCCGCAAUGGGCGAAAGCCUGACGGAGCGAUGCCGCGUGGAGGUGGAAGGCCUACGGGUCGUCAACUUCUUUUCUCGGAGAAGAAACAAUGACGGUAUCUGAGGAAUAAGCAUCGGCUAACUCUGUGCCA
rnacentral:rRNA from 1 species